CUGGGUGAAGCUUAUGUUGGUCAAGCGCGGGCGUCGGGAGCCCGAGAUCGGGGGUUCGAUUCCCUCCACCCAGA
rnacentral:tRNA from 2 species